CCUACAUCUUCCUUAAAAACAAUAUUUUUAAACAAUCAAGAACAAUAAGUGUCCAAACUUUGCUCAUUCUCAAAAUGCUAUAAUUAAAGAGUCAAUGCCUCACACUUGUCAGAGCACAAUGGAAGGCCCCCAUGGAUGCUGGUCUUCAUUUGGACACGACCGAUGUUUGACCCUCACUAUUUUAAAUGCAUGAACUGUUGGCAGAGUGCGUCAGCAAAUAUUAAUCUCUAUAAAUAUGCUUCAGAAGAGAAGCAGCCAUUGUAAUAAAUUGGUCUUUCAAAAGUAUAUCAAUAAAAUAUCAUGUCAAUGGAGAAGUCUUCUAAUACUGCAUCCUAAACCCAUCCUCCACACACUCACGCAAACCCUUUUAAGAAAAUAUGUAGAAUACCUAGAUUCAGAGAUAAUUUGAAGAUUCCCUGCAAGGUUUUGUUUAUUUGUUACAUCGAUUUUAAGAACAACUCCAUCUAAGUCGUCUUCUCAGCUGCCUUGUCUAUUC
rnacentral:lncRNA from 1 species